AUGUGGGAUCUUCCCGGACCGGGGCGCGAACCCGCGUCCCCUGCAUCGGCAGGCGGAUUCUCAACCACUGCGCCACCAGGGAAGCCCCCCCAGGGUUUGUCUGCCGUUUCAAUUAUCAAUCUUGGGCCUAUGACAGCUGGCACGUAGGUGGUAUCUGUUUAUUGGGAUCAAAGUGCUAACUUGAAACUGGGAACAAGGGAAUGUUUUCAAGUGAGCACUAAACAGUUGCAUUCCUGAAGCUUUUGUUAGCCCUAUGCUUUUUUUUUUUAAAUUUGAGUAUAGUUGAUUCAUUGAAUACAGUGCUCUGUUAGCCCUAUGCCUCUUAUCGGCAGGAAAUAGCCACAUCAGUCAUUGCCCCCUCUUCCCUCGAGAUUGAGGAAUAAUAAAAAAUGGGGUGGUGGUGGUAAAACUGGGUAAUUAUCAGUCACAUCCAUUUCAUCUGCCUUCACUAAUCAAGGUCAUCCAUUUUGAGACUUGCAUGUCCUCCAAGCAGCAUGUAGCCUAAACAAUGUUUGUCCCAGGUGUUUUCUAGGAGCUUGGAGUCAGCUGUGUCUAGUUUGAGCUGAUCUGGUUAAGACUGGAUAGGACCACUGACCCUCCAACUGGGCCUGCCCACGUGUCCACUUGGUGACCUUUUGACAUCGAAGGGGCUUCUGUACUGGACUGGUCGAUAGAAAGGACUGCCGACCUCAAACAACACCCACAUGAGAAAAAGACAACAGCAGUGGUAGACAGCUGACCCAAGAAUCUGGACCAGGUCUGUUAAGAUCCAUCCUAAUUCAAUGGAACUGUUCACCAAAUGUGUUUCCCUAUCAAAAUGGAAAGUUUUUAUUUCUAAUAUACUUCUGACUCCAAUGUUCAGGAUAGAAAGGAAAUUCUCCAGUGAAGCUGAAUAACUACUCACGAUGUGUAUCACUGCUUGCUACUGAAAGAUCUGCAAACAAAAAAGGGAAAAUGAUGGAGGAAACUUUCACGUAUUGAGAAAUACGAAGAGUCAUUCAACCUAAGGUACUGAUAACCCCCUAAGUACCAUCAGAAACCAUUGGAGGACCUUUUCUUCCUGAACAUCAUCUUCUGACAUCUAGUAAAGCUUCCUGGGAAAGAAAAAUUCCUGUGACUUGAACUGCGGAAAGACAGAAGUUAUCACAGCUGUCACAUGGCUCAGGGUGGAGCCAGG